GACAAUGUUAAGAACACAUAUUUUAAUGUAAUAACUUGUAUUGUAGCACUCUGUAACUGUUUGUAUUUUUCUACUCUGUAUCUUAUGUUUGCAACAAAUAGCUGCGUGCAGAAUAAUGCCGCUGUCAGCAAGAGGGGUAUCCACAGAUAGCACCAAGCAUCCUGUCUUCUAAAUGUGAACGCUAACAUGUUGUGGCACUAGCCACACAAGUGUUUAAAUAAACACUCCCUUUAGUUAAAAUGCCUGGCCAGGUAACUUCUUAAUUAUUGUAUCUAUUUAAUUAAGGAUUCCCCUUUAAGAAGGCUGAACUCCCAUGAGCCUUUGUUCUUUUUUAAACAGGUAGAGGGUUGAAGGGAGGCAGGUUUUGUGUUCUGGGUUCCUCCAUUUUGUGUAUGGCGGUGUGGUUUGUGUGCAGGUUCUGAAUGGGUUCCAGUUGACUUUCAGGAUUUUAUUUACAAGAAAAUUAUAUUAAAUAAGAACUAUACCUACCUUGGAGCAUCUCUUGGACAACUUGUUGCUGUUGGACUGCCACUGGAACUACAGAAUAAGCAUCAACAAACAAACAGUCAGGUCUGUGAGGAUGAGAAGGUCUCCACAGUCUGGAGUCUGAUCUCUGACAGCCUCAACAUACCUGUCAAUCAACAGGGACUCCUCUACAAAGGCAAGGCGCUGGCAGGUAGGCUGAACAGCACAGCACAGCACAGCACAGCACAGCUCACCCCUCCUCUCACCCCUCGCCUCGCCCCUCCUCUCACCCCUCGCCUCACCCCUCCUCUCACUCCUCGCCUCACCCCGGGUCAGUGUGGCACAGCCUGCCUGCUCUUCUAAACAAACACUUCAGCCCUGCCGACGCAGUGAGAGUCUGGAGCAGCUACACAAGGUGAUGAAGUGACACUUUGAAUAUGGGGCCUGAUGAGAGAAGUAUCCUUUUCAUGUGGUUUUGGUUUUGCCGUUGUGAGCAGGUAUGGGAGACAGCACCGUGUCUGCAUGUGAAAUAACAAAGUCAUCGCAGUGGAGGGACUCUCUGAAGGCUGCUGUUUGUGGAUUUGUCUUGUAAUGUGAGUGAUCUACUGUACUGUGAUGCCACUGUCUGUACGCACGCUGCACUGCAGGGGAGACACCGCUGGCAUUCACAGGGCAUGCUUGUUCAAUUAAAGCACGCUGCACUGCAGGGGAGACACCAACCUUCUGGACAAAGCCAAAACAGAUAGAGGAGUGACCAAAGUGAUCCUAUCAUUCGGAAUCAA